UUUUAUUUCAUGAAGUUACUGAGAAAAGCAGAAGCAGAAACAAUGAUUACUGGAUUCAAAGUUCCUUACAAAGCUGCGAUUUUUUUCGUGGGAAUCACAGCAGUACUUUUCAUGGAAGCACACUCGGAGAAAUCUUCCUUACCGUCGAGUCCACAAAAAAUUGAAUCUGACAACCGUUCAAAUGCUGAAGCCAAUCCAGACUCAAACCGUGUCCAACUCAGUCUCACAGACAAAAACACAACUCCUGUUGAGGCGCCAAAAACAGAAAUCAAUCCAAAUUGCGACCCCUUGCCAAAAAGUUACGAGUAUGAAGAAUUAUCAGAUAUUCUAUCAUGUGAUAUACUCGCACAAACAAAUCCCCUCAAUUAUAUUAUCGUCAAGACGAUGAAAAUUCCGAAAAACUCUCUUCCCUUCGUCAAAUCUGUACUUGAUAAGACUAUCGUAAAAAAAAUUCUCCCAGAAUACUACGUGCCAUACGCUAAUUUAUUAUCGUCGUUCUUGCGGUGUUGGAUACCUUUCGCCAAUGCAGAUAGAUUCGUAAAAGAUAUUAGAAAACAACGUUCCGCAAACAAAGAUGGUUUUGAUUCAUUACUGCGAGAGAUUUCUUCAUCAGUUGAAUUAUCCGAACUAUUCUCAUGGGAUAUUCUUUCCGAUCCUGAAUCGCCAACGCGUCUUUUUCAUAAGUUUUUAAACAUGUCGAACGACGAAAUCACGAAUUUGAGAAUCCAGUUGACAAAUUUUCGGCAAAAGUGGUGGAGAAAAUACCCGAAAGAUGUUCCAUUUUCUGUUAAGUAUGGCUGGUAUGCUAACAACUUACUCGAGGUUUUACAAGAUGAAAAUGCUCUGGAGAAUCUGAAACGUGAUAUGGUUGAAAUUCAACGCAAAUCGACUUCUGAUUCAAGCACAGUCAUUAUUUGAUGGAUCCAAAAUAAAUGUUUAAAUGUUUAUGCAUCUAAGUGAAUAGGCAGAUUCUAGAUACCUUUACCCAUCUAUCUCUCGAAAUUUAAGCAUUUGAUAUUUAUUUGUUAAGUACGUAUGUACAUAUUUGCAUACAAUAUGUAAUACCCUGCAUUAUUUCAAAAUGAAUUUUGAGUAAACUUCGCUAUUGAGUAGUU